rnacentral:rRNA from 1 species
AGAGUUUGAUCCUGGCUCAGAUUGAACGCUGGCGGCAUGCCUAACACAUGCAAGUCGAACGCGAAAGGUUUUCGGAUUGAGUAGCGUGGCGGACGGGUGAGUAAUGCGUGGGAAUCUGCCUGGCAGAGGGGGAUAACCCGGGGAAACUCGGGCUAAUACCGCAUACGCCCUACGGGGGAAAGGGGGCUUCGGCUCUUGUUGCCAGAUGAGCCCACGUCCGAUUAGCUAGUUGGCAGGGUAAUAGCCUACCAAGGCGACGAUCGGUAGCUGGUCUGAGAGGAUAGCCAGCCACACUGGGACUGAGACACGGCCCAGACUCCUACGGGAGGCAGCAGUGGGGAAUAUUGGACAAUGGGCGCAAGCCUGAUCCAGCAAUGCCGCGUGUGUGAAGAAGGCCUGCGGGUUGUAAAGCACUUUCAGCGGGGAAGAAAAGCGGAUGGUCAAUACCCAUUCGUCUUGACGUUACUCGCAGAAGAAGCACCGGCUAACUCCGUGCCAGCAGCCGCGGUAAUACGGAGGGUGCGAGCGUUAAUCGGAAUUACUGGGCGUAAAGCGCGCGUAGGCGGCGCGAUCAGUCUGCCGUGAAAUCCCCGGGCUCAACCUGGGAAUGGCGGUGGAUACUGUCGAGCUAGAGUGUGAGAGAGGGGGGUGGAAUUCCAGGUGUAGCGGUGAAAUGCGUAGAGAUCUGGAGGAACACCAGUGGCGAAGGCGGCCCCCUGGUUCAACACUGACGCUGAGGUGCGAAAGCGUGGGUAGCAAACAGGAUUAGAUACCCUGGUAGUC